ACCGAACCCACAUCCGUUGAAAAGGGUGGGGAUGAGGUGUGGAUAGCGGAGAAAUUCCAAUCGAACCCGGAGAUAGCUGGUUCUCCUCGAAAUAGCUUUAGGGCUAGCCUCAUGAGAGUCUUAUGGAGGUAGAGCACUGAAUUGCCUAGGGGGCGUCAAAGCUUACCAAAGCAUAUCAAACUCCGAAUGCCAUCAAGAUGAUUCAUGGGAGUCAGACCAUACGAGAUAAGUUGGAUGGUCAAAAGGGAAAGAGCCCAGACCUACAGCUAAGGUCCCAAAGUGCGUGUUAAGUGGAAAAGGAUGUGGGGAUUCUAAGACAACUAGGACGUUGGCUUAGAAGCAGCCAUUCAUUGAAAGAGUGCGUAAUAGCUCACUAGUCGAGAGUCCCUGCGCCGAAAAUGUCCGGGCUGAAACACGACACCGAAGCUUAGGAAUGUGUAAACAUUGGUAGAGGAGCAUUGCUAGCGGGAUGAAGCCAUACCGUAAGGAGUGGUGGACUGCUA
rnacentral:rRNA from 1 species